rnacentral:misc_RNA from 1 species
UCCGGUUUGGCACCGGCAGUCUCCCUAGAGUUCCCGGCAUCACCCGCUGGCAACUAAGGACAGGGGUUGCGCUCGUUGCGCCACUUAAGGCAACACCUCACGGCACGAGCUGACGACAGCCAUGCACCACCUGUGCAGGCUCCGAAGAGCACCCGCUUUCACGGGUUUCACCCUGCAUGUCAAGCCCAGGUAAGGUGGGGAUGACGUACUUGCUAGGUAA